UACGUAGGGGGCUAGCGUUGUCCGGAAUCAUUGGGCGUAAAGCGCGCGUAGGCGGCCCGGUAAGUCCGCUGUGAAAGUCAAAGGCUCAACCUUUGAAUGUCAGCGGAUACUGCCGGGCUAGAGUCCGGAAGAGGCGAGUGGAAUUCCUGGUGUAGCGGUGAAAUGCGCAGAUAUCAGGAAGAACACCAAUGGCGAAGGCAGCUCUCUGGGACGGUACUGACGCUGAGACGCGAAAGCGUGGGGAGCAAACAGG
rnacentral:rRNA from 1 species